CUGGGAUCCAAGCAGGGGGAUGAAAAACUCAGCAGAGAAAUUCGAGACCAUUUUGCAAGACUGUGCCCUUCUCCUCAGGACCCCCUGGCUCAGUUCUUGAAAAACGGUGUCAUAUUUAGUCAGAGGCCCCACCCCCAGGAAGCAUGGAUGGGGAUGAAGGCACAGGCGUCUCCAACCUCAGAGGCCCUUUGUGGGGUCAGGACACAGAGUGGGAGGGAGACUGAUGCAGGCCUACCAGUCCCUGGCUUUUUGUCUGGGGCUGGAAUAAAGAGGUGCCUUCAGCUGGUGGGCCGAG
rnacentral:lncRNA from 1 species